UGUGAUGAAGACCGGGACACCCAGAGUGUUGGUGAAUGGAAGGCCGGAAGGCAGUGGAAAACAGAGAAACCCUAAGAAGUGGGAUCAUUGGGGGAGUUUGUAGGGACAAGAAGCCCUGGCUUUAUAUCAGCCUCCUCUCAGGGGUGGUCUCAGUGAAGCAUCACCACGGUCUCCCUCCUCUUCCCUCAAUUCUUCUCUCCUAUAAGGAUCUCAUGCACACCCACUGCUGUCAUCCACUCAUCCACUGACAUACACAUCUGAACAUCUGCAAUGUGCCAAACACACAUCAACUUGGAAGACUUUCCAACUCUAACACUGGCCCAGCUCUUUGCACCAGGACAAUGUUUCCACUGCCCACAUCAAACCUGACCUGCUGACACCGCAAUCCUAAAAGUGAACAUAUUGGAAGAGCACACAUC